AUUGAACGCUGGCGGCAGGCCUAACACAUGCAAGUCGAACGGUAACAGGGAUCAGCUUGCUGCUUCGCUGACGAGUGGCGGACGGGUGAGUAAUGUCUGGGAAACUGCCUGAUGGAGGGGGAUAACUACUGGAAACGGUAGCUAAUACCGCAUAACGUCGCAAGACCAAAGAGGGGGACCUUCGGGCCUCUUGCCAUCGGAUGUGCCCAGAUGGGAUUAGCUAGUAGGUGGGGUAACGGCUCACCUAGGCGACGAUCCCUAGCUGGUCUGAGAGGAUGACCAGCCACACUGGAACUGAGACACGGUCCAGACUCCUACGGGAGGCAGCAGUGGGGAAUAUUGCACAAUGGGCGCAAGCCUGAUGCAGCCAUGCCGCGUGUAUGAAGAAGGCCUUCGGGUUGUAAAGUACUUUCAGCGGGGAUGAAGGGAGUAAAGUUAAUACCUUUACUGAUUGACGUUACCCGCAGAAGAAGCACCGGCUAACUCCGUG
rnacentral:rRNA from 1 species